ensembl:lncRNA
GAAAUCACUCUUCACUGAAACUGACUCAAGAAGAAUUCUUUCUGCAAGCCUGAGAUCUCAGACUGUAUGCAAUGAAGAACUUACCUGAAGCAGUCCAGAUUUUAAACAAAUAAUUCCAAUUCUUACAAUCCAUUCAGAUGCAGAGCUGGGCUGGUGUUAACACUGAACUGCCUGCAUUUUUCAAGAAGCAGUUGCUGUACAACCUUCAGGCCAACAACAAAUCCUUGAGUUGACAUGUGGGGCUAGCAGAUUUUGGGUUCCGUGUUUUCCUUCUUUGAGGAAGAUAUGAUGGCAAGUCAUCAUACAGAUGAUUCUCUAAACAAACCAACCUGGAAACAAGAUGGGAUGACUCACAGUCCGGAGUUCCCAUUUCUCGCUCAGAGAAUCUGGGUGACAGCUCAGAAUAAACACAGAACUCCCAGACGGCUAUGGGUAGGUGAGCUACUAAACACGGAGAUGAUAUUGUCAUCUGUCACAAACACGAAAACUUACUCCAACAACUGGCAGCACAGAUCCUAUCAUUUUAUGUGUGAAGGUGGAUUUGUUUUCCUCCAGUUAGAUUACUUUAUUCCUAUUAAUUUCAUCUGUUGUUUUAUUAUCCAGUCAUUUUGUAAGGUCAGGCUGCAAUUCUUUAUGGUCAGCUUUCACGCUGCCUUGACAUUUGUAUUCCUUUGUUGUGUGCAAAUAUGGUCACCUCACUGCUCACUACAUUUUCAGGUCACUUAUAAGUGUGUUGAACAUUAAAAAUCCCAGCCUGCAUGGAAUACUACUGGCAACUCUACUGUACGUGGGAUGUAAUAAUUUGCUCCUGCCAUUUAACAAUUUAUUUACCUGUUAGGACCUACACUUUCUGUUGCUUAAUUUACCCACAAGUAUUUUGCGUGAAACUUUAUGAGCUGCCUGUUGAAAUUCUAAGUAUAUUGACAGUAUUAUCCUUAUCCAUUAAUAUUUUAAUCCCUUAAAAAAAACACAGAAAACUUUGUAUCAUAGAACUUCCUAUGAUUCCUUCUGCGGAAACCACAUUGGUUAUUCCCAGGUAGUUUACAUUCAUGUAGGUCUCAAAUAACUCUAUGUAAACAGACUCUUCAUUAAUCUACCUGCAAGGUUUAUGGUCUGUGCCUCCUAGAUUCUUCUGGAAUGCUUCUUUUUAAGGAUUAUCACAUUUAUCAUUCUCAAGUCUUCCAGUGCUUAGAGAUAUAGUACAUCUCUAACUGUACUAUUUCAUACUUGUACUGUUGGACUUUGGGUGAAUACCAUGAAAUCUCGGCCAUUUAGACUACUGCUAUUUUACCAUGAUCAUCCCCAAUUGAUACUGUUACUUCAAUUUCCAGUAGAUUAUCUGUUAAAAACCUGUUCCUAGUCCCCCUAAAAUUUAUAGCAUAGAAAACUCCCCAGGUUAUUCUAUACUGAACACUGAGGCAAAAAUUUUAUUUCUGUCCUCUGAAAUGGUGUGGUCCUUUGUAAAUUUUAUGACUCCAUGGUUCCAAGACUAUCUUGUAGCUUUUUUGUUGUUGUUAGUUUUGAUGGUUUAGAUUAGAUUACAGCUUAGAUUACAUUUUAGAUUAGAUUCUGUUUCAACCUAAGGAAAAAAACACCCAAAAGUAGUCUAUUCACAGAAUUUAGUUCUCAUUUGAAAGUUGGCAUUUGAGCGUAAUUCAUUGUCAUAAUGCAAAGAGCAAUCUCCUUAUUAAGAAAAUAUAAGUCAUCUUUUCAUAUCCCUAGAAGGAAAUUAGUGCUCCAGAAAGUUGAAGAGAAUCUACCUAUUGAAUUUAAAACUAGUUAAAUAUAUUUUUUUUAGUCAUAUGAUGUACAAUUGCUUCACCUAGUAGUAAAGUUUGUGGUUUUUUGAUUCAUUUUCAUUUUGGAUUGACUAUUCAGAUUAGCUUGAGAACAUUCCAAUGUAUUUGACAAGAGAGAGGAAAAUAAAAAUACGUACCCAGGAAGAAAAAAAGGAGAAAAGUGAAGAAACAAAUUGAAUUUGACUAACUAUUAAAAGAAAGAAAUCUUUUCUUUUAAACUCAGUGUGAAAUGUUUUUCAGUAUCAUCCCUUUACAAUUGUGCAUUGUACUUGGUAAGACGUUACUUUCAAUUCAUAUUCAGGACACACUUUAACAGACUAUCUAGUUCAUUUUGCGUGUGCAAGAUAUAACAAAGAUAUAAAUAAGAUAUGAUGAAUUAUUAAUCCUCUCUCUCCUUCAGGGUGUUUUCUGAUUUUUUUUUCUUUAAAAUAUUUAUUGUAAAUGGACUUGGAGAAAAGUGUAGAAAUGUCAGCUUUUUGCAUGCUAAGGAGACCCUAGAAUGCAAGUCAUCUUUUAAAUCCCUCUUGUGUCCUUGUUAUUGGCCUUUGGAGUGUCUUGGAGAUGACUGAAGUAUUUUCUCACCUGCUGAAUCAUUUUGAGUCAACAUGGUUUGCUCUUUUACAUCCUUGUCAUUUCUUGUGGUUGCUAGGUAAUGUAGUGGCACAAGCUGGAACCCUUGGGAAUAGGAGUGCUAGGACCAGUGCCAGAACUACCUCUGCUCUGUAAUGGAAUAAUAUGUGCUAUCAGCUACUCCUUGGGAAGCUGUCAUCUAAAAGUAUUUUCAAUUAGAACUUUCCCAGUGUCCUUAAGUGAAAGUUCAUCCUUUUUCUUAAGAAACAGAAGUGAUGAAUCUUGAUGUUCUGGCCUCAGAAAGAAAUAGAAAAACAACAUAAGAUGAAAUUGAGUAAGAACAUUGAUCUAUCUUCUGAAUUAAUUCCUGCCAUUCUCUUACAGAAUUGUUUGCAUUUGAUUGAUCAUGGUCUCUGACAGGUUAAAUUGGGCAAGUUCACUGACGUUUCUGAAGCUAUGAAUCUUUAUAGUUGCUCUGAAUUUGGCACAGAACUAGUGCAGGUUUUCAUUUGAGCAACCAAAGCUUUGGAUCCCAGUAAUUGGAAUGACUUCAAAGAGGAUGUCUUGCAGGUUGUUUUCUUCAGGAGGAAAAAUCAAAUAUUUCCUUGAAAAAAAAUCAGUUUGUUUGCAAGCCUGGUUUCCUCAACCUCAGGAGAAAUCUACAGCCAGAAGAAACUUCCCAGUUUAUCAUUAAAACCUCUGCCUGGUGAGUGCAUAGGAUGAAAGUUUUACUUGUAGGUGGGAGUUCAGAUUCUUCACUCUGUUUAGUGUCUGUUGCUGUUUUUAGAUUAUAUUGAUGACUAAGGUUAUGUUUUUUUGGUCCAUGUGCUUGUUUAAGAGCACGUGAUAUGAUGGUUCCCCAGUGUCAGUGGAUUCAUACAGUGGCAGAUUCAAAAUAAUUUUAUGACAAAAGAACAAGCAACAAGCAGUCACAAUGUGAUCUGGAUCUGGACUGUGAAAUGAACUUUUGAUAUAAUAUAUUCUUGUCAUAUAGGUUGAUUUUUCAAACACACAAACUUUAAACAAAUAAAAUGUACUUG